rnacentral:rRNA from 1 species
UAGGAGAGCGUUCUAAGGGCAAUGAAGGUAGACCGUAAGGACUACUGGAGCGCUUAGAAGUGAGAAUGCCGGUAUGAGUAGCGAAAGACAGGUGAGAAUCCUGUCCACCGAAUGACUAAGGUUUCCUGGAGAAGGCUCGUCCUCCCAGGGUUAGUCGGGACCUAAGUCGAGGCCGAGAGGCGUAGACGAUGGACAACAGGUUGAUAUUCCUGUACCAGUUGAUUGUGCUUGAGUGAUGGAGUGACGCAGAAGGCUAAGCGAUCCGGACGAUUGGAAGUGUCCGGCCAAGCAGCAAGUCAGUUGAUGAGUCAA